CAGUCGCCACGGGAAUACGGAGGGAGCUAGCGUUGUUCGGAAUUACUGGGCGUAAAGCGCGCGUAGGCGGUUACUCAAGUCAGAGGUGAAAGCCCGGGGCUCAACCCCGGAACUGCCUUUGAAACUAGGUGACUAGAAUCUUGGAGAGGUCAGUGGAAUUCCGAGUGUAGAGGUGAAAUUCGUAGAUAUUCGGAAGAACACCAGUGGCGAAGGCGACUGACUGGACAAGUAUUGACGCUGAGGUGCGAAAGCGUGGGGAGCAAACAGGAUUAGAUACCCGUGUAGUCCCUGUCUCUUAUAC
rnacentral:rRNA from 1 species